AGAACGAACGCUGGCGGCAGGCUUAACACAUGCAAGUCGAACGCUCCGCAAGGAGAGUGGCAGACGGGUGAGUAACACGUGGGAACGUACCCUUUACUACGGAAUAACGCAUGGAAACGUGUGCUAAUACCGUAUGUGCCCUUUUGGGGAAAGAUUUAUCGGUAAAGGAUCGGCCCGCGUUGGAUUAGCUAGUUGGUGGGGUAAAGCCUACCAAGGCGACGAUCCAUAGCUGGUCUGAGAGGAUGAUCAGCCACAUUGGGACUGAGACACGGCCCAAACUCCUACGGGAGGCAGCAGUGGGGAAUAUUGGACAAUGGCGCAAGCCUGAUCCAGCCAUGCCGCGUGAGUGAUGAAGGCCCUAGGGUUGUAAAGCUCUUUCACCGGAGAAGAUAAUGACGGUAUCCGGAGAAGAAGCCCCGGCUAACUUCGUGCCAGCAGCCGC
rnacentral:rRNA from 1 species